CGGCGCUGAGGCGGCGGAGCGUGGCCCCGCCAUGGGCUUCCUGCACCAGCUGCAGCUGCUGCUCUGGAAGAACGUGACGCUCAAGCGCCGGAGCCCGUGGGUCCUGGCCUUCGAGAUCUUCAUCCCCCUGGUGCUGUUCUUCAUCCUGCUGGGGCUGCGGCAGAAGAAGCCCACCAUCUCCGUGAAGGAAGCCUUCUACACAGCGGCACCCCUGACGUCUGCUGGCAUCCUGCCUGUCAUGCAGUCGCUGUGCCCGGACGGCCAGCGGGACGAGUUCGGCUUCCUGCAGUACGCCAACUCCACGUGAGUGCCCACCCGCCCCUCGGAGCACCCACCCCUCCCCAGCCCAUCCAGUGAGUGACAUCUGCCACGGUGCAGGGUCACGCAGCUGCUUGAGCGCCUGGACCGCGUGGUGGAGGAAGGAAACCUGUUCGACCCAGCGCGGCCCAGCCUGGGCUCAGAGCUCGAGGCCCUGCGCCAGCAUCUGGAGGCCCUCAGUGCGGGCCCGGGCACCUCGGGGAGCCACCUGGACAGAUCCACAGUGUCUUCCUUCUCUCUGGACUCGGUGGCCAGGGACCCGCAGGAGCUCUGGCGUUUCCUGACGCAAAACCUGUCGCUGCCCAAUAGCACGGCCCAAGCCCUCUUGGCCGCCCGUGUGGACCCGCCUGAGGUCUACCACCUGCUCUUUGGUCCCUCGUCUGCCCUGGAUUCACAGUCUGGCCUCCACAAGGGUCAGGAGCCCUGGAGCCGCCUAGGGGGCAAUCCCCUGUUCCGGAUGGAGGAGCUGCUGCUGGCUCCUGCCCUCCUGGAGCAGCUCACCUGCACGCCAGGCUCGGGGGAGCUGGGCCGGAUCCUCACUGUGCCUGAGAGUCAGAAGGGGGCCCUGCAGGGCUACCAGGAUGCUGUCUGCAGUGGACAGGCUGCUGCGCGUGCCAGGCGCUUCUCUGGGCUGUCUGCUGAGCUCCAGAACCAGCUGGACAUGGCCAGGGUCUCCCAGCAGCUGGGCCUGGAUGCCCCCAACGGCUCGGACUCCUCGCCACAGGCGCCACCCCCACGGAGACUGCAGGCGCUUCUGGGGGACCUGCUGGAUGCCCAGAAGGUUCUGCAGGAUGUGGAUGUCCUGUCGGCCCUGGCCCUGCUACUGCCCCAGGGUGCCUGCACUGGCCGGACCCCCGGACCCCCAGCCAGCGGUGCGGGUGGGGCGGCCAAUGGCACUGGGGCAGGGGCAGUCGUGGGCCCCAACGCCACUGCUGAGGAGGGCGCACCCUCUGCUGCAGCACCGGCCUCCCCGGACACGCUGCAGGGCCAGUGCUCAGCCUUCGUACAGCUCUGGGCCGGCCUGCAGCCCAUCUUGUGUGGCAACAACCGCACCAUUGAACCCGAGGCGCUGCGGCGGGGCAACAUGAGCUCCCUGGGCUUCACAAGCAAGGAGCAGCGGAACCUGGGCCUCCUCGUGCACCUCAUGACCAGCAACCCCAAAAUCCUGUACGCGCCUGCGGGCUCUGAGGUUGACCGCGUCAUCCUCAAGGCCAACGAGACUUUUGCCUUUGUGGGCAACGUGACUCACUAUGCCCAGGUCUGGCUCAACAUCUCGGCGGAGAUCCGCAGCUUCCUGGAGCAGGGCAGGCUGCAGCAACACCUGCACUGGCUGCAGCAGUAUGUAGCGGAGCUGCGGCUGCACCCCGAGGCACUGAACCUGUCGCUGGAUGAGCUGCCGCCGGCCCUGAGACAGGACAACUUCUCGCUGCCCAGUGGCAUGGCCCUCCUGCAGCAGCUGGAUACCAUUGACAACGCGGCCUGCGGCUGGAUCCAGUUCAUGUCCAAGGUGAGCGUGGACAUCUUCAAGGGCUUCCCCGACGAGGAGAGCAUUGUCAACUACACCCUCAACCAGGCCUACCAGGACAACGUCACUGUGUUUGCCAGUGUGAUCUUCCAGACCCGGAAGGACGGCUCGCUCCCGCCUCACGUGCACUACAAGAUCCGCCAAAACUCCAGCUUCACCGAGAAAACCAACGAGAUCCGUCGCGCCUACUGGCGGCCUGGGCCCAAUACUGGCGGCCGC
rnacentral:sRNA from 1 species